CCUACGGUGGGCAGCAGUGGGGAAUAUUGGGCAAUGGGCGCAAGCCUGACCCAGCAACGCCGCGUGAAGGAAGAAGGCUUUCGGGUUGUAAACUUCUUUUCUCAGGGACGAAGAAAGUGACGGUACCUGAGGAAUAAGCCACGUCUAACUACGUGCCAGCAGCCGCGGUAAUACGUAGGUUGCAAGCGUUAUCCGGAUUUUUUGGGUGUACAGGGCGUGUAGGCGGGGGCGCAAGUCAGAUGUGAAAACUCAGGGCUCAACCCUGAGCCUGACUUUGAAACUGUGUUUCUUGAGUGCUGGGGAGGCAAUCGGAAUACCGUGGGUAGGGGUGAAAUGGGUAGAUAUACGGAGGAACACCAGUGGCGAAGGCGGAUUGCUGGACAGUAACUGACGCUGAGGCGCGAAAGCGUGGGGAGCAAACAGGAUUAGAUACCCUUGUAGUC
rnacentral:rRNA from 1 species